AGGAUUUUUAUUAUUUUUUUUUUUUGUAUCUGUAUUCUAAAGUGAAUAACAUGAUAAUUCUCUAGUAAUGACUGAAAUCACUGUAAGCUUUUGAGGGUUUUGUAAAGUACUGUAUUGGAUAGUAAUUCAUUUUGUUAGAUUUGGCAACACUUAAAUCAUUAAUUGUGGGUUACCGUGAUCUUCACUUUAGAAUACUGAUCCAAAUUAGUAAUUUAUUCAGAAUGAUGCAACACUUGAGUCAUUACCAUCCAAAACCUUACAAAUAUCUCAAAAGCUUACAAUGACAUUAGCCAAUAUUAGGUAUUUAUGAUGCUUUUCACUUUAGAAUGCUGAUCCAAGUAAUCAGUAGUUCCUUUAGAAGGAUUUGGUAAUACUUGAGUCAUUACUAGUGGGUUACCAUGAUCUUCACUUUUUAGAAUUAAUUAUACAUUAUGCAUAAUUCACAAUAAUUACGAACCUGUAUACAAUAAUUCUUAGUAUUUCUCUUUAGUAGUUACUAGAAUGUUAAUAGUGCAUUAGUAAUUUGUUGCUGUGUAGGGUAACACUUUAUUUUAAGGUGUCCAUAAUAGAGUAAUUACCUAAUUAAGUACUUGGUAGUAGCCGUUGUACUUACAUGAAACAAAAUGUACUUACCAUGUAACUGUUACGGGGCUGACGAGACGUGAGACGUGCGGAUCCAUGUGCAGGUUUUUAAUGAGCAGAGACAUGGUCAUACAGGCAGGGUCAAACAAAGACAAGCGUGGGUCGACGAUCGGCGAACAGUAUCCAAAGGGGCGAGACAGGAGAGGUUAUCUAAAACGUCAGCGAUAAUCCAGGCAAGGGGAAACAAUCCGAACAAAGGCAGGGCUAGGCGAGGCAAGGCAAGACUAAGAAAACUAACGGGGCUCUGUAGGGCAGCGAUAAUGCAUACAAUACUCGGCGACGAGGGAGAGAAAGUCCAGGGUUUAAAUAGAGUGUGUGAUUGGUUACAGCUGUGUGCGUGUGAUCAGGUGAGCAUGUGAUUGGUGAGAUGGCUGAUGGAGUAGCAUCUGCCUGCAAAACCGGAGGCUGCAUUUUCAGGAACGCAGUCCUAGGACCGCAUUUCUAGGACCCUAGGUUUUUAGUGACAACGCCACCUACCGAAUUAGAGGACCAGCGAAGAUGGAUGACAGUCAGAGUGUGAGUAUCAAAUGUGAAUACAUUUUUAUUUGUUUAACAUUAAAAACAAUUGUGAUGCAUUUCAUUGGAAAGUUAACGUAGCCGAAGUGAUCGUGAUUUGCUAAAUAGUCUUGAAUGCAUAGCCGUCAUAUAUUAGCCUCUAAUGCUGUAAAAUGAAUUGUUAGCAUGAUAAGCCUGUGUUGACUUAUUGACAGCACAAUAAACUAGCACGUUCGUUGUGAAAGCUUGUUAAUUACUCAUUAUUUUUCCAUUUUAAUUAAGUUAAAAUAAUCUUAAUGUUUUAACAGUCACAUGCUCACAGUCAGCCUGUUUAACGUUACCCUACAAUACAUGUUAUGAGUACGUCUCUUCAUUUUGACAUGGUUUUAUAAUGUUGGUUGAGACAUAUCACAUUUUAAUAGUCAGACGUAACAGAGAGGCCAUCAUAAUAAUUGACUGUUAAAAUACCACGUGUUAGAUUGUGUCAUUUACUGUGUACUGUACUCUAUAUGAAGUGCUUUCAAGGACACAGCUCAGGGCAGGCAAUAGUAUGACAAAAGAUAAAUAAAUAAAUUGGUCAAGUAUUAGAAUUGUUUUUACACAAUGUCCAAUUUAUCCCUUUUUUUAAGCGUUAACAGUAUUUCUGUUAACCUAGCAGUGAUUAUGUUCUCCAUUUACUAUUUCAGUGAAGUGGAAGAAUUGAACAGGGUGAUAGAGAAACAAUUGAAAAAAGAGGGGAGAACAUCCAAGUGUUCAGAUGGGCUUUAUUGGCAGGAAUGUUUCAAGAACCUUUGUUCUCACAACAUCAAAAUGGAGUCAGUGAAGACGUCGUCCAUGAAGUUCUUUCUAUGUGAUUCACGUCAUGAACAAAUUUGUUUUUGUGUGUGUUCAAGUUCAACUGUUGUAAUAUAUUAUUUUAUAAAAUAUACACAAUCUUAAAUCUACCCCCAGAGUCAUCCUUGUAUCUUCCCUCUGUACUUGAAAAUGUGGUUGAUCUAGUGACUGAAAAGACUGUACCAUGAUUCCUUGUUUAUUUUACUUGAGUUAUUAUAUUAUGCUACUUAGACCCAAUAAUUACUCAACAUUCCUAGGAACCAGGUUUAAUUGCAAUAAAGAAAGUAGUAUUUGGGUGUAAUAAAACUUGUUAAAAAACUCUAAAAUUCUAAUGUAGUUAAAACUGGGUGGAAAUACUGCCUUAGUGGCACUUUUUUCGGUCCUCCAAAACUAGGGUCCUGGAAAUGCGUUCCUGGGACUGCGUUUCUCCGGCUCGGUAGGUGGCGCUGUCACAAAAAAACUAGGGUCCUAGAAGUGCGGUCCUACAACUGCGGUCCUACAACUGCGGUCCUGAAAGUGCGGCCUCCGGUAUUGCAGAUCGAUAAUAUUGGGCUGAUGAGAAACGCAGUCCAUUGUGAUGUGUGGUGUGAAAGUCAAUAGGAUGAGCGAUUGACCUCUGGUGGUGAAUGAACGGAAGUGCAUGGACAGGAUUCGUGACAGUAACUAAGUUAUGGAACAGCCUGUACUUACUGUUUGUAAUUAUGUAGCUGUAAUAGACAGCUACUGUUACACAUA